GACGUAGGGGGCGAGCGUGUCCGGAUUUAUUGGGCGUAAAGAGCUCGUAGGCGGCUCGUUGCGUCGGCUGUGAAAACCCGCAGCUCAACUGUGGGCUUGCAGCCGAUACGGGCGGGCUGGAGUUCGGUAGGGGAGACUGGAAUUCCUGGUGUAGCGGUGAAAUGCGCAGAUAUCAGGAGGAACACCGGUGGCGAAGGCGGGUCUCUGGGCCGAUACUGACGCUGAGAAGCGAAAGCAUGGGGAGCGAACAGG
rnacentral:rRNA from 1 species